rnacentral:rRNA from 1 species
UGGGGAAUUUUGGAUAAUGGGGGAAACCCUGAUCCAGCCAUCCCGCGUGUGCGAUGAAGGCCUUCGGGUUGUAAAGCACUUUUGGCAGGAAAGAAACGUCGCGGGUUAAUACCCCGCGGAACUGACGGUACCUGCAGAAUAAGCACCGGCUAACUACGUGCCAGCAGCCGCGGUAAUGCGUAGGGUGCAAGCGUUAAUCGGAAUUACUGGGCGUAAAGCGUGCGCAGGCGGUUCGGAAAGAAAGAUGUGAAAUCCCAGAGCUUAACUUUGGAACUGCAUUUUUAACUACCGGGCUAGAGUGUGUCAGAGGGAGGUGGAAUUCCGCGUGUAGCAGUGAAAUGCGUAGAUAUGCGGAGGAACACCGAUGGCGAAGGCAGCCUCCUGGGAUAACACUGACGCUCAUGCACGAAAGCGUGGGGAGCAAACAGGAUUAGAUACCCUGGUAGUCCACGCCCUAAACGAUGUCAACUAGCUGUUGGGGUCUUCGGACCUUGGUAGCGCAGCUAACGCGUGAAGUUGACCGCCUGGGGAGUACGGUCGCAAGAUUAAAACUCAAAGG